rnacentral:rRNA from 1 species
AGCGUAGGCGGGCAGGCAAGUCAGGCGUGAAAGAUAUCGGCUCAACCGGUAGCUGCGCUUGAAACUGCAGGUCUUGAGUGAAGUAGAGGUUGGCGGAAUUCCUAGUGUAGCGGUGAAAUGCGUAGAUAUUAGGAGGAACACCAGUGGCGAAGGCGGCCAACUGGGCUUUUACUGACGCUGAGGCUCGAAGGUGUGGGAGCAAACA